rnacentral:lncRNA from 1 species
GUCCGCAGCAUAUUUUUUUUUCCUCUUUUGCAAUGAAUAUUUGAUGCUCAGCGGGAUGAGCCCCAGGAUGAGACACACAUCCAAGAAAAAUCCAUGCCUCUCCAUCUUUUCCCCAGGAUUGCCCUUUGGCGAGACUCUCCUUUGCGAUUGCUUCGUAUUCCCCGGUUCAUCCAACAAACCUCUUCUUAGUCUCUUUUGUUGUCUCUUAUCUGUUCAACAAACACCCACUGCGCAGGACCAUCCUCCGGUAAGCCCUCGAGUGGGGCCGUUUGGCAGCCCUACUUCGUGGGGUGAGCACUGAAGGAACCGGGGCCCCAUAAGCCCGUGCUUUUGUGGGGGCUGCCCCCUCUCCCGUCGCAGGGUAACCGGCACCAGGCUGUUAAGCUGUGGAUGGACAACGGCACACCCCAUCGGGUGUGCGGAUUUCAGUACGUGGAGUUGGCCAGUGAAGUCAGCCGAGGCUGCAGAGAAAACUUGGGGGCGGGGGUCGAGGAAGCCGCGCCCCGGGGCUCCCAGUGCAGCCCCCAGAGGAAUCCUGCGGGCAACAACAAGCUGUGCGAGCGGCCGGGCUAGGCGCCGACAACAGCAGGAGCGGCCGGGCCUGCCGCGAGCCUCCGCGUCCAGGUAGGGUCUCCGCGCCCCAAUUCCAUCCCGCCCCGCCAUCGGCGCUCCCAACAAGUGCGGGGUUUCCACCCGCCCCGGCGUUCGCGCCCACUCACGGUCUCCCUUGCCCCCCCGGGAGAUGCUCCCCGCGUUCUAUUCCGCCCCGCCUUGGCGCGCCCAGCAAACGUUGUGACCUCACCCCCCUGCGGUCUCCCCCUCCCCUGACACUGCCCCUGCCCCCACCUGUGGCGCUCCGGGCAUCUCUAAAGCCCCCAACCAGCGUCCUCCAACCCACCCGCGAGGCUCGCGCACCAGCAACGCGACCCCACCCACAGGGACCCCGCCCACCUGUGGCGGUACCCCCGCAUCUGCGACCUCCCCCAUCGCUAGCGCGGCCCCUACCUACG